GAGUUUGAUCCUGGCUCAGGAUGAACGCUGGCGGCGUGCUUAACACAUGCAAGUCGAACGAAGCGCCUUAUUUGAUUUUCUUCGGAACUGAAGAUUUGGUGACUGAGUGGCGGACGGGUGAGUAACGCGUGGGUAACCUGCCCUGUACAGGGGGAUAACAAUCAGAAAUGACUGCUAAUACCGCAUAAGACCACAGCACCGCAUGGUGCAGGGGUAAAAACUCCGGUGGUACAGGAUGGACCCGCGUCUGAUUAGCUGGUUGGUGAGGUAACGGCUCACCAAGGCGACGAUCAGUAGCCGGCUUGAGAGAGUGAACGGCCACAUUGGGACUGAGACACGGCCCGAAACUCCUACGGGAGGCAGCAGUGGGGAAUAUUGCACAAUGGGGGAAACCCUGACUGCAGCAACGCCGCGUGAGUGAAG
rnacentral:rRNA from 1 species